GAAGCACGCACUGAUUUGUUUUUUUCACUUUCACCCAUUCAUUGCUCUUCUACACUCUUUUAAAUCUCUCCUUUUCUCUUCAACUUUGAAACUGAAAAAGGACAUAAAAGAUUUGGUGGGUUAUGUUUCUUUUCUUUGGAGCCAAUAACGGAGCUUAGAGAUUCUUGCAACUUUUUUCCCCCUUGCAUCCUCCUUUACUCAAUAGUAAUUUAUGUGUAUUCUGUAUCUCUUCACAAAAUAAUAAACAAAGACUGUCUUUCACCACAAAAUCUCUUGAGAAGCUGCAAAGUUGGGAGAUUGCAUCAUUGAAUAAAGGAAGAAAGAAAAAACAUAGAGAGUGAUUUGGUUCAUGUGGGUCCCAAGGAAGUGGAGUCAUGGUUCCUCCAAAUGCCAUGCUCAUGCUCAUGCUCAUGCACAUGCAGAG